CAUACUCGUACGGGAGGCAGCAGUGGGGAAUUUUGCCCAAUGGGGGAAACCCUGAGGCAGCAACGCCGCGUGGAGGAUGAAGUCCUUGGGGAGGUAAACUCCUAUCUACCCGUACGAUAA
rnacentral:rRNA from 1 species